rnacentral:rRNA from 1 species
GACGAACCGAGCGAACGUUGUUCGGAAUCACUGGGCUUAAAGGGCGCGUAGGCGGGCUGCCAAGUCUGUGGUGAAAUCCUCCAGCUUAACUGGAGAACGGCCGUGGAUACUGGCGGUCUCGAGGAAGGUAGGGGCAAGCGGAACUGUGCGUGGAGCGGUGAAAUGCGUUGAUAUGCACAGGAACUCCGGUGGCGAAGGCGGCUUGCUGGACCUUUUCUGACGCUGAUGCGCGAAAGCUAGGGGAGCGAACGGG